rnacentral:rRNA from 1 species
CACGUAGGGGACGAGCGUUGUCCGGAUUCAUUGGGCGUAAAGCGCGCGUAGGCGGCUCGGAAAGUCGGUCGUGAAAUCCUGGGGCUCAACCCCGGAACUGCGUCCGAUACUUCCGAGCUGGAGGCAGGUAGGGGAGAUCGGAAUUCCUGGUGUAGCGGUGAAAUGCGUAGAUAUCGGAAGGAACAUCAGUGGCGAAAAGCGGCUUCCUGGACCAGCACCGACGUUCAGGCACGAAAGCGUGGGGAGCAAACAGG